rnacentral:rRNA from 1 species
AUUCCAGCUCCAAUAGCGUAUAUUAAAGUUGUUGCAGUUAAAAAGCUCGUAGUUGGACUUCUGGCAGGGCGCCGCGUGCCACAGUAGUGCGCACAAGGGCCCGGCCAUCCUUCUGUAAACGUCGGGGAAGUUUAUUCGUCCGCGGCGGGAUCAGUUAAUUUACCUUGAGAAAAUUAGAGUGUUUCAGGCAGGCGUAGCCGGAAUACAUUAGCAUGGAAUAAUGGAAUAGGACUUAGUCUCUUUGUUGGUUCGAGGGACUGGAGUAAUGAUUAAUAGGGAUAGUUGGGGGCAUUAGUAUUUAUUAGCUAGAGGUGGAAUCCUCUAAUUUGAUAAAGACUAACUUAUGCGAAAGCAUUUGCCAAGGAUGUUUUCAUUA